rnacentral:rRNA from 1 species
AGUUUGAUCCUGGCUCAGCUCUCCAGGAGCCGCGUUAAUUUAAAUUCCGAAUUCAAGUCCACCGGCUUCUGUUACAAGUGGACUCGAUGUCGGCUUAAGAUUGGAUGAGAAUGCCUGUAUCUGUUCCUUGUGCGAAUCAACUCACGUUCCAAUACCAUCCUAACCCGAAAUAUAACGCAUUAGCCCUGCAGCCUGAUAAUGAGUAAGCUAACACAUAAUUCAUAUUUUGUGCUCCGUGCCCACUGUCCAGUCGCCAAACCUGACAUCCCUUUGCCAUAAUGAUCAAUCCAACCCGCCAAUGGAUCCCAGAGGGC